UAACAAGGCUUAUCUUCUUAUCGAUUUCUCUGACCAUCUCCAAAUAAGUGUCUACGUCCUAGGUGCUGUUUUUCUUCAGCUCUGCCAAGUUUUGCAACUUGCAGAACAUCCAGUUGUUCAGUAACUUGUAGAUCCCAGUCUUUUCAUCCAUCGUUUUACAAAACAUAAGCUGAUGACAUAUAUGUUGCAUUGUAUAUUUCAUCUGUUGGAUCUGCUAAAUGACAUUGUUCCUGAGAAAUAGGUGGUGCAGAGCAAUCUUAACCAAUGUAAUAAUGAAGAUAUCCCGCUUUCUGGAACAAAAAUUGAGAUGGAGUCUUACGAACAAGAAUCAUCUGACAGCAGUGAUGAAGAGUGGUCCACACUUAGCACACCACGAAAAACAAAAUUACAAGGCAACGAAAAAGUAUCACUUACUGAAUCAGUACGUUUUGCAAAGCGGUGUUCUAGAAGAGCGCCAGCUAGGGAGCAGAAUAAUGAACAUACUCAGAGUGAGCAGCUUCAUGGUUCUGCAAGUGAGCUAGAGAGCAACUUCAUGGUUCUGUAAGUAAACAGCAAACUGAAGUUCUUCGCUCCAAUGUCAGCAGUGGCGAUGCCUCAAAAUGUCAUUUUGGCCCUAUAGUUACUCAGAAGCUGAAGGAACAUUUUGAAAAAGAUCCAUAUCCUUGCCAUGCAACAAAAGAGGGUCUGGCACAAGAGCUAGGACUGGCAUUUAAUCAGAUCAGUAAGUGGUUCUCUGCCACCCGUCAUUAUUCAAGAGUUAUUGUUGCCAAGAACCAAAAAUACCCAGGAGAAAAUACUACUGAGAAUAACAGUAGCGCAAUCUUUGAUGGUAUACAAGUAAUAGAACCCAAUUUUGGUUUGAUAGAUAAACCAGAUGCAGAUACAAAUGACAUGAUUUCUGAAAAGUUGAUGGUACAAAUUAAUCUUAACGAAGGCAUUGAAGAGGAUAUCCCACCAAGCCAAUAUACUACCAGGUGUGAAGAGAAAUUAACUAUGACUCAAGCUGCCAUCUCAAGGGAAGCUGGACCUCCAGGUUAUGAUCCUGGAGAAAACUGUCUUCAGGUCAGUUCAAUGAUUACUAGCUGUGAGCAGAGUGUGAUAAUGGCUCCUAGCGCUAUCGCAAGAGGAGUUGGUCCACCAGGAUAUACGCCUGGAGAACACCAGGGCAAUGGGGCUCCAUGGAAUACAAGCUAUGAGCGAAGACCGUUUACGAGUCCUGUGACUAGCUCAAGAGAAGUCAGACCUCCAGGAUAUGGGCCUGAAGAAAACCAAGGCAGUGGCAUUUCCUGUAAUACAAGCAGAGAGCAAAUAUUGUUUAUGAGCCCUACAACCAUCUCGAGAGAACUUGGUCCACCAGGAUAUUUGCCCAGAGAAAACCAGCGCAGUGACACUUCAUGGAAUACAAGCUGUGAGUCGGGACUAUUUAUGAGUCUUGCGACCACCUCAAUAGAACAUGGUCCACCAGGAUAUGGGCCUGUAGUCUUGAUGCUUGCUUUAUUGUGUAUACUAUUUAGUAUAAAUAGCUGUAUAUAUUA